rnacentral:lncRNA from 1 species
UUAAAUGUUUAUAGCACUUUGAAAAGUGUUGGACCACUGUCACACAAGCAGUUUUCCAUGUGUCUGCCUGGGAUGCUUCUAGACUUCGCAAUGUCAAGCAAACAAAGAAUGCUGAAAACUAGAGCCUUAUUCACUUUCCCCUCUGCUGGAAAAGAGUAUUAAAUUAUCUGAAUGACAAAUGAGAUCUUCUCCAGGGGACUAUAAUAUCUUCUUUCCUGUGUUCCUGUCUGAGAUCAACAUAAUCUUCUCAGCUCUAGAAGAACAUAUGGCUUGUACCACAAAAACACCAGCAAGACACAAAAAUGUGGAGCUGCUAAGGUGGAUUUUCAAAUUAAAAGGUUGUUUUCUGUGGCAUUUUUAG